AUUUUCGGCUGAAACUUACUUCGAAAGAAUGUGAACUACAAUUCUACAGUGGAAGCCGCUGCACAGAAUCUUAUUACUGUGCUCACUCAGAAUCUUUCUCAGGGACAGCACCAGGCAGCACAGGGAGUAAGGCAGGAACAGGGACCUCCCUCUGUAGAUCAAGAGAUGGCAAGAUCUUUCCCUGGUUUCUUUGGAAAAAAAAGUUUUCUUGGAAAACGAAAGAUGCAUAAUCCAAGGAUCCCUGUGACACCACCUUUUAAAGCAUGGA